GAAGGAAGGAAGGAAGGAAGGAAAGAACAAAUACUAACUGGAUGAAAGGGAAUAAAAGGCUGGAUUAGUUAAGGAAUUAAUUGAGGGAUGAGGAAUAUUCUCUUCCUGGCUACUUCUCAGAGAGGAAUCCUAAAAUUUGUAGUUAAAUAAGUAAGCCCUCUUUUCUUUUCUUUUUUCCCAAUAAAGCUUUAUUUAAAAAAGCAGGUGGCGGGCCAGAUUUUGCCUGUGGGUUAAACUUCUGUAAGAAGAGAUCCUUCCACAAACAACCUACCUUCCAAUCUACAAUUUGAAAUGAGGUGUUAAUUAGUGGCUGAAACAACAUCUGGGUAAGGCCUUCAGACCACCUACAACCAGACAAUGGAUUCUCAAAUAUUAAAGACUUGUCUUCCACUUUCCUGUUUUGCUGCUACAGAAGAGAAGGAAGAGUGUUUCAGUUAUCUUCUGUCACAUAACCAGUAACUCUGAAGCUUAGUGUAAAAAUAACAAUUUAUUAUUUCCUAUGAUUCUCUGAGUUGAUAGGACUCAGUUUGAGCAACCUUAUGCUCCAGGUCAUAUAGCUGAAGCCACACAUAGGGCUGCAUUCAGCUGGGAGUUUAGUUGGGCUAGGAAUAUCCAAGCUGCCCUCUCAUCCUCUAGGAUUUCUCUACAUGUGGCCUCUCAAUAUUCCGUACCUAAUGUUGGCUUCCUUACAGUUUGGUAAUGGGCUUCCAAGAAUGUAUUAAAAGGAUACUUCCCAUUGUGCAAACAUUGAAGUCUCUGCUUUGCAUUAUGCUUGCUAAUAUCCCAUUGGCCAAAGGAAGUCACGUGGCACACUGCCAAACUCUUAGUUAUUGUGGGGCAGAAC
rnacentral:lncRNA from 1 species